ACUCUCUCUCUCUCUCUCUCUCUCUCUCUCUCUAUCUAUCUUGCAUUGUUGCAUGCCUAAAACACCUCCCUCGUCAUGAAUUUGUUGUUACAGAAGCCCCAAGCUAAAUCGUUUUCAUGGCUGGCUGAUAGUUUUAGCUGUGCUUUUCUAGGACAUUAAUUGCAUCUUCUCCUGUUCUGGUUUUUAUUGCAUCCUUUGGGGCCUUGAUCCCCCAACUUACCAAGAAAAGAAAAAUAUGCUGAACAAUUAGCCACCUAAGAGGAAACUACAAGAGUUACAAGCUGCGUGUCAUCUUUGGCAAUAAUUAUAGUUAGUAGACUUGUGCAUCGAUCAUGUACCCAAAAAGAGAGGACUUGUGUAUCAGUCAGGCCAGAGAAACCAAAACUUUGUGUCAAGGGGCAUGAUGCUGGUCCAACCACAACCUGGCCAACGCCACGCGUUCAACUUUUCGACGGUUGAAAACAAACACAAACUAUGAGCGCAUUUUCUUCCAGCAAGAAAAGGAAUUAUUAGUUCUAGGGAAAAAAAAAGGAAGAAACCAACAUGGUAACAUAUGCUAUCAGUAAUUUAAUGUCAUAGUAGCAUCCGCUUGUUUCACCCAUUCUAUAGUGAGAAAACCCUCACACUCAUUCCCUUCUUGAUAAUUGCAAGAGGUCC
rnacentral:lncRNA from 1 species